rnacentral:lncRNA from 1 species
UAAAGUGUUAAACUACGAGAUCAGUGCCAUGAGUUAUAUAUACUGAACAUGCUUUCAAGUUGCAAUUACAGUUGUGACCAAAACUCACAAACACUUAAUUAUUCACGCUUUAAAUUCUUCCAGUUUUGCUUCACCACUCAAACCGGACUAAAACAAAUUCUAAUUCAGGCUAUUGAUUAACUCUAAUGCAUACAAGUAUUAAAACUUGUCCAGGAUUAGUAACAAACAAGCAAUUGAAUUACAUAAUACUAUCUAAAUCUGUCAGAACUUCGAGUGCAUAGUAGAGAAUCAACACCAAUUCAUUUUAUGCUCCAAUCAUAUGAGGUUACAACCACAUGAUCUCUAAUUUUGUACCUGAAAAUGGAAUUUUAAUAGAGGAAACGAAUCAGCAGCAGCUAUACUGUAGCAGAAUAAGAAAAAUUCAGGCAGCAACACUUCGAGAUAGUCAACAGCAACAAUAACCAACCCAGAAAGUCGAAAUAUAUCACAGAAAUAUUUAAUUUCACACAAAAUCCAUGAAUCCACUAGAAAUGACACCAAAUCAACUCAAAAAGCAAACCAACACACCUUUAACCUUUCAGCAAACAAAAUAUACCAUCAGCCAGUCGUUAAGGCCCAAACCCAAUCAAAUUCAAUCCAAAAUUCCUUUGAAGUUCAGAAGUCUGAACAUGGAACUAAAUGAAUGAAACAACAACUAUUUUUGAAAUUUUUGUUUUGGUUAUAUAAAAAUAAAAUCUAAAAGAAAAUUUUUGAGUUUUUCAAUGACUGGAAAUUCAAAAAUAGAGAUCUGUACGAGGGUUUUUGGGAGGAAAUAGAUCGCUGAAAAGAAGACCCUUUUUUAAGGAAUCAAAAUACCAAUUUAUAGGCAACAUAAGAAUGAUCAAUCGAUUUUU